rnacentral:rRNA from 1 species
AAGCGCUUGCAACCAGACUUGUGUAUGACGGUUCCCCCGGUCUUCUGACCGGACUAUUCCGUUAUGUCCAGGCCAGCAUCGGUUUGGGUGGUUGGUUAAAGACCUUGGGAAUGUAUCUACCCUUCGGGGUCGACUUAUAGCCCAGGGUGCAACGCAGCCUACCCGGACCGAGGAACGCGCUUCGGCUCGGAUGCUGGC